UACGGCGAGCGAACCGGGAAGAGCCCAGCUUGAAAAUCGGACGUCUUCGGCAUUCGAAUUGUAGUCUGGAGAAGCGUCCUCAGCGACGGACCGGGCCCAAGUUCCCUGGAAAGGGGCGCCAGAGAGGGUGAGAGCCCCGUCGUGCCCGGACCCUGUCGCACCACAAGGUGCUGUCUACGAGUCGAGUUGUUUAAUA
rnacentral:rRNA from 1 species